UACGUAGGGUGCAAGCGUUGUCCGGAAUUAUUGGGCGUAAAGAGCUCGUAGGCGGUCUGUCGCGUCGGCUGUGAAAACCCGGAGCUCAACUCCGGGCCUGCAGUCGAUACGGGCAGACUGGAGUUCGGCAGGGGAGACUGGAAUUCCUGGUGUAGCGGUGAAAUGCGCAGAUAUCAGGAGGAACACCGGUGGCGAAGGCGGGUCACUGGCCCGAUACUGACGCUGAUGCACGAAAGCGUGGGGAGCAAACAGG
rnacentral:rRNA from 1 species